UACAGAGGGUGCAAGCGUUGUUCGGAAUUAUUGGGCGUAAAGGGCGCGUAGGCGGUGCGGUAAGUCCGCAGUGAAAUUCUCUGGGCUCAACUCAGAGUCUGCUGUGGAAACUGCCGUGCUUGAGUGUGGGAGAGGUGAGUGGAAUUCCCGGUGUAGCGGUGAAAUGCGUAGAUAUCUGGAGGAACACCGGUGGCGAAGGCGGCAUCCUGGACCGGCAUUGACGCUGAGGAGCGAAAGCCAGGGGAGCAAACGGG
rnacentral:rRNA from 1 species